UCCUGGCGCCCUUCAUUCCACCGGAAUCUGUCAAUACAGAGACCAGAUUUCAGUGAAAUGAAGCCCGUCAGAGA
rnacentral:pre_miRNA from 1 species